rnacentral:tRNA from 1 species
GGCGGUGCGGCUUAAACGCGCAGAUGAAGGGGCCUCGGUCGCGCAGACUGUAAAUCUGCCGGCUCAGCCUUCCCAGGUUCGAAUCCUGGCGCCGCCA